UCAAGUUUCUCCUUGAAAGAUUCUGUCCACCGGGAGAGGUCCGAUGAUCUGAACAUCCACAGACUGGGAGAAGUCAGAAGAUACAGAGGAGAUAAGUGACCAAUAGCGAAUAUUAACCAACAUCACCUCCCUGGCUUGGUUAAGGGCAAUUGGGCCAGGAAAUUGAUCCCAGUUGGUGAGAGAACUGAAAAAUGAGGACCAAAUUAGCAUCGAAUAUGAAGGGAUCAAGGACUGAUAGGAUAUCAAAUACUAAGAAUUGUGUAAUUUAAGACCAGUGAAUGAGAAUUUCUUUGGGGUUUUUGUCUGUAUAGAUACUGGAAACAUCAGGUCAGAGACUACAGGUGGAUAGAAUGUUUUCCAUGGCACGUCCUGGCCAGAACAAGGGUCACUCCGGACUCUGCCGGAGCUGGGCCGGGAGUGGCACGUGUGGCAGUCCAGAGGCACGAGGAUCACUGCCCUGCCGGCCCUUCCAGCCGAGUGACAGGGAUUGCUGGUGCAUGGUGUGACUUCCUCCAGCCAUACUUCCCUCCCCUGUGGGAUGAGGAGACAAGCUGGAACAUGAAUGCAGAUGGGCAGCUGUCCCCGGGAAAGCCAGGCUCCAGACAAGUGGGGUGGGGGUUGUGAGCCAUAGCAGGAUCCCAAAUCACCUGGCUGCAGGAGGGAGCUGUGGAAUCCAGCCCCUGUGUUGCCAUUUGGUUCAAUAAACUGCAUUAUUAAGAUAGUAACAAACGUUAAUAGUUAACAUUAGUUGACAUUAGUAGUAGUUAUGCUAAGGCUUGGUAGGCCACAUGUAACCUGCAGAUGAACUAUAUAGCAGAUAUUGCAAUGUAAGCAGUGUAACUAGGAGAUAAUCUAGGAAUGUACCUUUUGGCAAAACUUAAAUGUCAGAGAGAUAAUCGUACCAGGUAGUGAAAGAGAAGUAAGAAAUUGUGAUGAUGAAGAAAUCGUGUAGAAAACAUAC